rnacentral:rRNA from 1 species
AAUCAACGCUGGCGGCGUGCCUCAGACAUGCAAGUCGAACGCGAAAGGUUCCUUCGGGAACCGAGUAGAGUGGCGCACGGGUGAGUAACACGUAGGUAAUUUGCCUUUGGGUGGGAAUAACAGCCGGAAACGGCUGCUAAUACCGCAUAAUGCAGCGGCUCGACAUCGAGACAGUUGUUAAAGCGGGGGAUCGCAAGACCUCGCGCCUAAGAGAAGCCUGCGGCAGAUUAGCUAGUUGGUAGGUAAUGGCCUACCAAGGCGACGAUCUGUAACCGGCCUGAGAGGGCGGUCGGUCACACUGACAC